GUCCAAGAUGCAGGACUUUGCAUAGGGCACGGAUGGAUUUUCACAGUCAGCACGAGGAUGGGAGGAGAACAGGGCAGAUCCAGCUCCACUCAGUGAGAGUUCUGGCUGGAGUUACUUGGCCAGGCCUCACUCCCGAGAGAGGAGACCUUCCUCUGGACCAGCUACCAAGACAGCCCCUAAUUGGAAAAUGUUGUCUUCUAAGCUUCCAUCCAGAAAUCCAUCUCAGAGCCUGUCCUCAGAGGAACCUGAUGCCAGAGCUGUGCACUCAAAGUAUUUGGACACAGGUAUUUUGUGGAACUGAGCUUUUUCCAGGUCUUGCUGGAGGUGAUUCUGUGUGAACUUGACGGAACUCUUUCUCAUGGGCUUUUUUUCUAAGUGUGGGAGAGCAUGGCCUGCAUGACUGCUGGCUUCCAGCACGUGGCGUGCAAACCCAUGCCGGGGUGUGUAAUUCACUGUAGCCCUUGACAGAAUAGCAGGGAUAAAGGUCGUUUUUUAAUCUUCUGUUUAUUACUCUCAGCCAAUUAACUUCUACCUACAGUAGAAGAUAUUUUGCCAACUAUUUUUUUCAAAAUGGAGAAAUACCAUGCUCUUAAAAAAGUCUUUUAGAGGCACAGACUUCCCAAUUUCAUUACACUGAAAUCACUAAAAGAUAGAAAAAAGUGACAUUCACGUAUCAAAGAAAUUAUCUUUUGGCAAAAUACUCUGUUUUGGUUUGAAAUGUUUGUGAAUUUUCCUGCAUGUGUCCAGAUGCAUAGGGAGUUUAUUCAUUCAAUUAAAUUAAAACUUUAGAUAACAUGGUAAAUUCAAAAAGUAGUGAAGACACAUUUUGUUUCUACCUCUUUAAUUGAGAAAACUGGCUGAUGCCUCCCGUGUGUGAGCACCGUGUAGCUGAUGCAGGUAGAGAAACCGAGGUUUUCUUAUUUGCUGCCGCUGGGCC
rnacentral:lncRNA from 1 species